GGUGCGUAACGCGUAGGAAUAUACCUGGUAGUGGGGGACAACCCGGCGAAAGCCGGGCUAAUACCGCAUACGAUCUACGGAUGAAAGCAGGGGACCGCAAGGCCUUGCGCUAUCAGAUUAGCCUGCGUCGGAUUAGCUAGUUGGUGAGGUAAAGGCUCACCAAGGCAACGAUCCGUAGCUGGUUUGAGAGAACGACCAGCCACACUGGGACUGAGACACGGCCCAGACUCCUACGGGAGGCAGCAGUGGGGAAUAUUGGACAAUGGGGGCAACCCUGAUCCAGCAAUGCCGCGUGUGUGAAGAAGGCCUUCGGGUUGUAAAGCACUUUCGAUGGGGAAAAGCAAGCCAGACCUAAUACGUCUGGCCCUGGUGGUACCCAGAGAAGAAGCACCGGCUAACUCUGUGCCAGCAGCCGCGGUAAUACAGAGGGUGCAAGCGUUAAUCGGAAUUACUGGGCGUACAGGGUGUGUAGGUGGUUUGUUAAGUCAGGUGUGAAAUCCCCGGGCUCAACCUGUGAAUUGCAUUUGAUACUGGCAGACUCGAGUGUGGUAGAGGGUAGUGGAAUUCCGCAUGUAGCAGUGAAAUGCGUAGAUAUGCGGAGGAACAUCAGUGGCGAAGGCGGCUACCUGGACCAACACUGACACUGAGGCACGAAAGCGUGGGUAGCAAACAGGAUUAGAUACCCUGGUAGUCCACGCCCUAAACGAUGGGUACUAGACGUCGGGAGGUUUAUCCUCUUGGUGUCGCAGCUAACGCAAUAAGUACCCCGCCUGGGGAGUACGGUCGCAAGAU
rnacentral:rRNA from 1 species